rnacentral:rRNA from 1 species
GAUGAACGCUGGCGGCGUGCCUAAUACAUGCAAGUCGAGCGAACAGACGAGGAGCUUGCUCCUCUGACGUUAGCGGCGGACGGGUAAGUAACACGUGGAUAACCUACCUAUAAGACUGGGAUAACUUCGGGAAACCGGAGCUAAUACCGGAUAAUAUAUUGAACCGCAUGGUUCAAUAGUGAAAGACGGUUUUGCUGUCACUUAUAGAUGGAUCCGCGCCGCAUUAGCUAGUUGGUAAGGUAACGGCUUACCAAGGCAACGAUGCGUAGCCGACCUGAGAGGGUGAUCGGCCACACUGGAACUGAGACACGGUCCAGACUCCUACGGGAGGCAGCAGUAGGGAAUCUUCCGCAAAGGGCGAAAGCCUGACGGAGCAACGCCGCGUGAGUGAUGAAGGUCUUCGGAUCGUAAAACUCCGCUAUUAGGGAAGAACAAAUGUGUAAGUAACUAUGCACGUCUUGACGGUACCUAAUCAGAAAGCCACGGCUAACUACGUG